rnacentral:rRNA from 1 species
UACGUAGGGUGCGAGCGUUGUCCGGAAUUAUUGGGCGUAAAGGGCUCGUAGGCGGUUUUGUCGCGUCGGGAGUGAAAACCAGGUGCUUAACACCUGGCUUGCUUUCGAUACGGGCAGACUAGAGGUAUGCAGGGGAGAACGGAAUUCCUGGUGUAGCGGUGGAAUGCGCAGAUAUCAGGAGGAACACCGAUGGCGAAGGCAGAUCUCUGGGCCGUAACUGACGCUGAGGAGCGAAAGCAUGGGGAGCGAACAGG